UUCGCUUUCUGGCACGGGAUUAGCAUCAUCAAAAAAUUUGCUCAGGUUCAUCUUCCAUACCAGUCACAGAAAAUGGUAAACAAGAGCGUCACUUGGUUGCAACAGUGGGAAAGUUCAGUGUGAUAUGGGACUUCCAGCAGGUGAAAAACAGUGCUCAUGCAUGCUACAGGAAUCAGCAAGGCCUUAAAAGCUGUUAUUGUUACAAGAUUGUGUUGAAGGAUGAGUCUAUUAUUGAGAGUCGGUUCAUGCAUGACAAGUUUGCCAUUAGUGACUCCCCAGAAGCUCCACUAGUGGUUGCUACCCCUAUGAAAGUUAGCUUUAUCAGCCUCUCCGGCAAGCGACAACAUUGAUAAAUUAUCUUUAUUUACAUAAUUGAGUUAUUUUCCAAGUUGUGUGCGUCCAAGGUUGCUUUCUUCUGUAUAUGGAUUUGUUUUUUUUUAGCUCUCUUGUAGUUGUUCUUGGCUUCUGCUUGUACUUAAAUGAAUUCUUUUCACUCU